CCUUCGGUCGAUUCUCAAACUUUAAAUACGCAAGAUAGAGAGGGUUGCUUCUGAACCUCUCUCCUGAAAACGUCGGCCUUGUGGGCCACUUUUGGUAAGCAGAACUGGCGAUAUGGGAUGAACCAUAAGUCUGGUUAAGGCGACUAAAUCUUCGCUUAGAGAUACCACGAAAGGUGUUGGUUCAUAUAGACAGCAGGACGGUGGCCAUGGAAGUCGGAAUCCGCUAAGGAGUGUGUAACAACUCACCUGCCGAAUGAACUAGCCCUGAAAAUGGAUGUCGCUUAAGCGGAGUGCCGACACCAGACCGUUUUGGWAAGCAAAGACCAAAAUGAGUAGGAGGGCGUGGCGAUUUUGUUCAGAAGGGUGCGACGCAAGUCGGCCUGGAACGGUCGCUAGUGCAGAUCUUGGUGGUAGUAGCAAAUAUUAAAGCGUGAUCCUUUAAGGACGAAGCGGGGAAGGGUUCCAUGCGAACAUUGAUUGGGCAUGGGUGAGUCGUUCCUAAGCCGGGUGGCAAUCGUUCUUACGAUCGGCGAAAGGGAAGUUGGUUAAAAUUCCAACACACGGAUGUGAAGGCGGCAACGCAAAUUGAGGUGGAGACACUAGCAGUGAAACUAGGCAGAGUUUUCUUUUCUGUUUAACCUGUGCUGUACUCUGUGGAAUCCGUUUAUCGGGAGAAACAGGUGCGUAGCGGGAAGAGCGUAGGGGUGUCCCCUGCGUCUAGUAAUUCGCUGAUAGUCCUUGAAAAUCCAUCUGCAAUCUAAUUUCACGCCGUGGCGUACCGAUAACCGCAGCAGGUCCCCAAGGUGAACAGCCUCUGUCUAAUAUGAACAAUGCAGGUAAGGGAAGUCGGCAAAAUAGACCCGUAACUUUGGGAAAAGGGUUGGCUCUAGUGGGGCGAAGGACAAACUGGGUUGUGUUGGUUUGGUGGGGUGUGUCUGUUUGGGGUAAA
rnacentral:rRNA from 1 species